CGUAGGUGACGAGCGUUGUCCGGAUUUACUGGGCGUAAAGAGCGCGCAGGCGGUCGUGCAAGUCGAGUGUGAAAGCCCCCGGCUCAACUGGGGAGGGUCACUCGAUACUGCUCGACUCGAAGGCAGGAGAGGGAAGUGGAAUUCCCGGUGUAGUGGUGAAAUGCGUAGAUAUCGGGAGGAACACCAGUGGCGAAGGCGACUUCCUGGCCUGUUCUUGACGCUGAGGCGCGAAAGCUAGGGGAGCAAACGGGAUUAGAUACCCCGGUAGUCCUAGCCGUAAACGAUGGACACUAGGUGUUGGUGGUAUCAACCCCGCCAGUGCCGAAGCUAACGCAUUAAGUGUCCCGCCUGGGGAGUACGGCCGCAAGGCUA
rnacentral:rRNA from 1 species